AAGUAAAUGCUACCGAAUGGAGAGAGAGCCACGUAGCUCUCGGCGUGGUCCCUCAUGGGGCGCCGACACCGCCGAGCCCUGUAGCUCAGGCGGUUGCUGAGACCUCUCGGUCUCGUUGGCGUGGGCAUCGCUUCGGCGUCCCACUGGUGCGAGUACAGGAGGGGAGCUACGGUUCCUCGUCCCGGUUUUCGCUGAGCACGGUCAUACGUGCCGAUGGAGAGAGCUUCGCCGUUCGUGCGUCUCUCGCUCUAGUCGUUCGGCUUGGGUACCUAUCCCGCCUCCGUGCGGGGAGACUCGCCGGAAACCGGCUCUUGGGCCGGCAGCCGGACGGGGAGGUUUUAAAUGACUAUCGCCCAUUCACGAACACCAGUGUUUUUUUUUUUCGCUCGUGACGAGACCCUUGUGACGCAAGGCCCUGUCGCGAGGCAGGUGCAUGCAAUGAAAGAACAACCCUGAACGGUGGAUCACUCGGCUCGUGGGUCGAUGAAGAACGCAGCAAAUUGCGCGUCGACAUGUGAACUGCAGGACACAUGAACAUCGACAUUUCGAACGCACAUUGCGGUCCAUGGAUUCCGUUCCCGGACCACGCCUGGCUGAGGGUCGGUAGCUAAAACUGAGCGCUGUUUGCGUUCGAUGGUGGGAGCAUCGCGGUUCGUGCGGCGUCGGUCGCCGCUGCGUCUCCUGAAAUGAGCUCCGCUCUCGGAGCUGGACCUGUCACAUACGGACUGGGAGCACGUCGACGGUGGUCCGCGCAGCGUCUUGGUGAGCUAGCGCAGGUCGCCCCGUAGGCCCAUGCUCCCGUGACGAGAAAGAAUUGCCACCACGACCUCAGAGCAGGCGAGACUACCCGCUGAAUUUAA
rnacentral:rRNA from 1 species